rnacentral:rRNA from 1 species
AUGGACAAUUCAACUUUCUGUGUUUACGAAAGAGGUAGUCUCAGUCACAAGUUUUUUCUACAGGCAGAGGCUAGAGAAAUUGCUCGAUCUAUGGGAAAUCUUGCCAUCACCCCUGAAAUAGUGGCCGAGUGCUGCAUGUAUCUGUUGUCAUUAAUCUCUCGGGGUAGCGACAUUAUUGACUAUAAGUGGGCUACCCAUGCUACCAAAUAUUGGGUCUGCGAUGGCAUUGUACAAGGAGGUCAUGAUGAUGAAGCAUGGGAUGUUGGUACUGCUUUGCAUCAAUGGAUCAGAUUAGAGGACUGCUCAUUUGAUAUAUUGGAAGAUUUUACUGAUAGUUUGGACGCCCAGAAACGUUGGAUGGUAAUGGUUGUCACCUCCACUAGUAUGGAAGAAAUAAAAAGGAUCGAGGCGGUGACUAUUCCUCCAGAGUCAACGUCGUUUUUCCUUGCAGUCCAAAGGGGAUCCAAUCCUCCAUUACCAUCAUUACCUGAUGGCAUGUUUCAUCAAUCGGAAAAUCUUCGUGUGCUCAGAUUAUGCAACUGCUCCUUCAAUUUUUCUUCACCUCCUUUCCGCUGUUGUCGAAGCUUAAGCUUCCUUGGAUUGGACAGCUGCAAGAAUCAACAAAAAGAAGAACCCGUGAAGCAAAGGAAACCAACUAUGGAAUUUUUUCACAGCCUAUGGGUGCUAGAUAUAUAUGACACAACCUGGGAACUGGCUCUGCCACAAGAGACAAUAGAGCAAAUGGCUGCAAACAUGAGGGAGGUACAUGUGAAGAAGGGAAGGAUUUGGUGCCGUAAUUUUUCAUGGCGACAACUACAGAACCUCCGCAAGCUUCGAAUAAUUGAACCUACAUGCUCUUGGGAAACAGAUGAACUGGAUGAAUUCACAAAUAUGGUAAAGUUGGAGCUCCUCGAUCUAUCUGGGAAUAGUACAAUGCAAGUUUUGCCACGAGUAUCAGAGACAGUUGGUCUGAAGACUCUGAUUCUAGAUGGCUGUGUUCAGUUGGAGCAUGUUGGGCCUGAAGGACUCCCUCCUUCAAUUGAAUCAUUUAGCUUAAGUUUUAGUUCAAUCCAAGAAGCAAAAGUCUCCAAGAUCUCUUUGGUUGGUUGUGUGCAUUUGGAGAACUUCACAUUGCAUGGAGAAUUGCCGUGCCUUGAGGAGCUAGACCUAUCAAACACCUUAAUCAGGAAACUUGACUUGAGCAGUGAGGUGGUGCAGGUGCCUGAACUAGAGCGGCUCUUUCUGAUAGGCUGUGAAAACCUCCACGCAAUACUAUGGUGGAGCGUCAAAAGAAGGUUGAAAAUGCUACGCAUCAGCAAUCAAGGAAAGGGCGCCAUCAGGCCACAUGAUUCUUCACUUAUCUGCUGUGUUAACAGAAAAUAUGACGGUGAAGUUUAUGUUAGAGAUGCAAGGUUCAUCCUGUCGUUGGUGCUCGGUUUGUGGGAAGACAAUUCCAGGUUUUUGAUUACUGAUAGCCUAUACUUGAAUCUGUAUGGGUCUUUGGAGAUCAAAGCUGAAGGGAGAAGCAUUAAUAACGUGGGGAUUGAGACCCACAAUGGGCAGGUAGUUCGGCCAGUCCGAAGCCCCAUCAGAUGCUGCUACCAUGAUAUUGUAGUCGAUUCUUAUGAGGUCCCACAGCCACUGCUUGUACCCCUGCACCGUCAUGUCGAGAUUGGUGAUGGAAUUAACCUCACUGAUGUGGAUUCCGAUUGGGGAGUCAUAGCUAUUUUUCAAUUGAUAUGCCGGGCUCACUCAUUGCGCGUCCAUGACAAUUUUUCCAUGCUUGCUAUUGCCCCCAAACAAGAUUUUGUUGUCCUUAUAGGUGAACCUGCUCGUUUUGAUUUGAGAUGGUGCCAUGUCGACAAGUGUCCUAAGUUACAGGCAAUUUUUGUCCCUUAUAUCAAGGAGGUCAAUUGUUCCUUUCCUCACUUGGAGACCAUCUGGGUGACCGAUCUCCGAACGGCUGGCUGCAUUUGGAGCCAAGGAAUAAUGUGGGCAGUUCAGCAAGAAUUUGUCUUUGGACAACUGCGGAGCAUACACUUGCACAACUGCCCGAGGCUCAAGUAUGUCCUCCCAAUCUCAUCAUUCAUCUUACCCAGCCUGGAGACCAUCAAAAUAGUCGGCUGUGGUAAUCUCAGGCAGAUCUUCCCAUGGGACGUGAAUUAUGACGCUGGAAGAGAAGACACGGUGAAGAACUUUCCACAGCUAAAGCACAUCUACCUGCAUCAACCCCACAAUCUGGAGGUAAUAUGUGAAGACAAGAUGUUUGCUCCAAAGCUUGAGACCAUCAGGAUAAGGGACUCUUGGGGCCUUAGGCGCCUCCCGGCGGUGGGCCUUCGCCGUGGAGUCAGUCUUCCUGUUGUGGACUGUGAGAAGGACUUGUGGGAUAACCUAGAGUGGGACGGGCUGGAGGCCGGUCACCACCCGUCACUCUUUAAGACACACCACUCACAGUACUACAAGAAGGCCCUUCCUCGAGUCUCGGUCCUCCGUUGA